UUGUGCCCUCAUCGAAGCUGAUGCUAUUUUUCUCAAUAGAAUCAGUCAAAAGUGGGGCGAAAUAAAAUUCACUCGACGGUCGCAAUGUUCAGUUAGUAAUGCUGUUGAACACUGCAAUUCCAUGAGUGAAGACAAGA